CGGACGGGUGAGUAACGCGUGAGGAUCUGCCCUUAGGAGGGGGACAACAGUUGGAAACGACUGCUAAUACCCCAUAUGUCUACGGAUGAAAGAUUUUAUCGCCUGAGGAUGAACUCGCGUCUGAUUAGCUAGUUGGUGAGGUAAGGGCUCACCAAGGCGACGAUCAGUAGCUGGUCUGAGAGGAUGAUCAGCCACACUGGGACUGAGACACGGCCCAGACUCCUACGGGAGGCAGCAGUGGGGAAUUUUCCGCAAUGGGGGCAACCCUGACGGAGCAAUACCGCGUGCGGGAGGACGGCCUGUGGGUUGUAAACCGCUUUUCUCAGGGAAGAAGACCUGACGGUACCUGAGGAAUCAGCAUCGGCUAACUCCGUGCCAGCAGCCGCGGUAAUACGGAGGAUGCAAGCGUUAUCCGGAAUUAUUGGGCGUAAAGCGUCCGUAGGUGGUUAAUCAAGUCUGCUGUUAAAGAGCGGAGCUUAACUCCGUUUAAGCGGUGGAAACUGGUUAACUAGAGAGUGGUAGGGGUAGAGGGAAUUCCCAGUGUAGCGGUGAAAUGCGUAGAUAUUGGGAAGAACACCGGUGGCGAAAGCGCUCUACUGGGCCACAUCUGACACUGAUGGACGAAAGCUAGGGGAGCGAAUGGGAUUAGAUACCCCAGUAGUC
rnacentral:rRNA from 1 species